CCUACGGGUGGCAGCAGUGGGGAAUAUUGGGCAAUGGGCGCAAGCCUGACCCAGCAACGCCGCGUGAAGGAAGACGGCUUUCGGGUUGUAAACUUCUUUUCUCAGGGCCGUAGCAAGUGACGGUACCUGAGGAAUAAGCCACGGCUAACUACGUGCCAGCAGCCGCGGGAAUACGUAGGCGGCAAGCGUUAUCAGGAUUUACUGGGUGUAAAGGGCGUGUAGGCGGGAAAGAAAGUCAGAUGUGAAAACCAUGGGGUCAACCUGUAGCCUGCAUUUGAAACUGUUUGUCUUGAGUACUGGGGAGGCAGACGGAAUGCCUGGUGUAGCGGUGAAAUGCGUAGAUAUUAGGAGGAACACCAGUGGCGAAGGCGGUCUGCUGGACAGCAACUGACGCUGAGGCGCGAAAGCGUGGGGAGCAAACAGGAUUAGAUACCCUUGUAGUC
rnacentral:rRNA from 1 species